rnacentral:rRNA from 1 species
UACGUAGGUGGCAAGCGUUGUCCGGAUUUACUGGGCGUAAAGAGCGCGCAGGCGGUCGUGCAAGUCGCGUGUGAAAGCCCCCGGCUCAACUGGGGAGGGUCACGCGAUACUGCUCGACUUGAAGGUAGGAGAGGGAAGUGGAAUUCCCGGUGUAGUGGUGAAAUGCGUAGAUAUCGGGAGGAACACCAGUGGCGAAGGCGACUUCCUGGCCUGUUCUUGACGCUGAGGCGCGAAAGCUAGGGUAGCAAACGGGG